AUUGAACGCUGGCGGCAUGCCUUACACAUGCAAGUCGGACGAGUGGCGAACGGGUGAGCAACGCAUCGGAACGUACCGAGCAAUGGCGGAAAACUGUGCGAAAGGUCAGCUAAUACCGCAUAUUACUCUAUCGGCCGUCGUGGGAUUAGCUGGUUGGCGGGGUAAAGGCCCACCAAGGCGACGCUGAGUAGCGGGGCUGAGAGGCUGAUCGGCCACACUGGGACUGAGACACGGCCCAGACUCCUACGGGAGGCAGCAGUGGGGAAUUUUGGGCAAUGGACGCAAGCCUGAUCCAGCCAUGCCGCGUGUGUGAAGAAGGCCUUCGGGUUGUAAAGGACUGUUGUUAGGGAAGCGGUACCUGAAGAAUAAGCACCGGCUAACUACGUGCCAGCAGCCGCGGUAAUAC
rnacentral:rRNA from 1 species